CCUACGGGGCGCAGCAGUGGGGGAUAUUGCACAAUGGGGGGAACCCUGAUGCAGCGACGCCGCGUGGGUGAAGGAGUGCUUCGGCAUGUAAAGCCCUAUCGGCAGGGAAGAAGCAAGACGGUACCUGACUAAGAAGCACCGGCUAACUACGUGCCAGCAGCCGCGGUAAUACGUAGGGGGCGAGCGUUAUCCGGAUUCACUGGGUGUAAAGGGAGCGUAGACGGCCAUGCAAGCCAGGGGUGAAAGCCCGGGGCCCAACCCCGGGACUGCCCUUGGAACUGUGCGGCUAGAGUGCGGGAGGGGCAGGCGGAAUUCCUGGUGUAGCGGUGAAAUGCGUAGAUAUCAGGAGGAACACCGGCGGCGAAGGCGGCCUGCUGGACCGCGACUGACGUUGAGGCUCGAAAGCGUGGGGAGCGAACAGGAUUAGAUACCCCGGUAGUC
rnacentral:rRNA from 1 species